rnacentral:lncRNA from 1 species
GCAAGAGAAAUAAAGGGACCCGUAUCUUGGCGGGGCAACCCGGAUGGCUACUGGUGUUUGCAGCCAUGCCGAUGUCUUCAUUCUCUUGUCUUAUCAACAAAUAUGAGCCUCGAUUUUACUCUUAUAGCUUGUUUGGAUGGUUGUUACCUAUUGUAUUGUAUUGUUGUUUAAAAGGGUGUCUUUGGUAUGAUGGAAACUAUUUUUCAUGAUGAAAUCAGUGUUUGGUUACUAAUGUAUUCAUAUGAGAAAAGAUAAAUUGGGAAAUUUUCCAAUAAGUCUUCCCAGAAAGAGAAAUGAGGUUAAUAGAGGGAAGGGAUUCUCUUCUAACAGUGGUUGCCCCUCUCUUUUGUGCCAAUGAUUUUCUUUAGCUGCUAAACCAAAUCCCUUGUUCAUGAAAUACACAGAAACAGCAGCUAUAAUCAUUGAAGCAUAUGCAUGGAUUUUCUUCAAUCUACUGCUUCAAUCAUAGAUCUCAGUCUGUGUUUUCGGGGGAAUUUGCACAAACAGCCUUUCGUGAGGCAGUGAUGAUAAUAUGCACUGUGUGGGCUAACAAAAUCGGGCAUCGAGGACAAUCCGACCCGCAUCUUGGCCUGGCAAAUCCAUGGAUGGCCUGCAAUUGAGGCUCUCUCUUUUGCAUGCAACCGGUGAUUUUGCAGCCAUGGCGUGGCGGCCUUAUCUUUGUCCAAGCAAAAUGCAAUAUCUGAGCCUCAGAUUUCUGGGUAUCGAACUUGGGACCUCUUGAGCUUUGAAAUCUGUAAGGUUUGCUCCAAAUUCUAACUCUAGCUAAAGAUCAAACAAAUGAGUUAUCACAUAAAGAUGGGUACGUUUUCUUCUCAGAGAUUACAGUCCAAAAGCACUUUGCUAUGUCAGUGAAGGUGGUUGAAAGAUAUAGAUAUAUAAAUAGAAAGUUGCUGCUUUUUCUGCAAACCCAAAUCUAAAGGAAAGUGAAAGACAUAAAGAUGUUGGACUUGAAUUUAGUGGCUUAAGCCUGUUUUAAGUUCACAUUGGCUUCUCGUUUAACCUCUCCAUUGCUAGAAGGAAAUAAAGGUUGCUCUAACUGGUUUUCUUGAUUAGAAAUUUGUGUGUUCUUUACAUUGUCAUUAGCAUGAAAGGCCCAGAAAGGUAUGCUUGAGAAAUUAGCUGGACCUCCCAAUGGUAAGAUGUAAAAUGGAGGUCAAAUUGGGGUGUAUAUCAUUGUUGCCGUCUUCUAAUGCUUCUUAGUUGCUAACUCCACUACCACCUGUCAACAUAGCGGGCUGACGAAAAAUAUCUUAAGUCAGGCUUGGGAUCUAAUGAAACUGUAUCUUGGCUGGGCAAUCUAGAUGUUACUGGAUUUGCAGCCACGACAGUGAUUUCCUUCUUUCUCCAAAUGAAUCAAAAAAGAAAACAAUGGACAUAUAUCUUGGCGGGGCAACCCGAAUGGCAAGUGAUUUUUGUGUCAUGCAACCGGUGUUUGCAGCCAUGACAAUGUCCUCAUUCUAUUAUCUUAUCUUCCUCAACAGAUCUGAGCCUCAAAUUUUCUCUUAGGGUGUCUUUGGCAUACAACAACAACAACAACUGAGCCUCAAUCCCAAGCAAAUCGGGGUUGGAUAUUUUAAUCCUCAAUGUCCAUGCCACUUCAUCUAAGCUCAUGUCAGUCUAAUAUAAAAUGUUUGGGGCCCUAAUGGAUCGGGAAUUUGAACCCAACAUGAAUCGAACACGCAACCUUCUGAUCUGGAGUCAGACGCGCUAUAUUACACCAUGACAAGUCAGCCUAGAGAGAGAAUUGAGGCUAACAGAGGGAAGGGAUUUUCUCCUAAGGGUGGGUGCCCCUCUCUGUUUGUGCCAAUGAUUUUCUUUAGCAGCUAAACCAACAGCCUUUGUUCAUGAAAUACUCAGAAAGACUCUGAUCAUGUAAGAACACGCGUUAAUCUCCAUAUGUUGUCAAUCCGCAGCUUCAGCCAUAAACUUGUGUCUCUGUGUGUGUGUGUGUGUUUUGGCACAUUUCUUUUUCCCCAUUUUGAGUAAUAGAGGCAAUGAUGAUGUUCAAUUGCUGGGCUGACAAAAUCGGGCAUUGAGGCAAUCCAACCAGUAUCUUGGCUUGGCAAAUGGAUGGGUUUUGCAACCAUGGCGUGGUUGCCUUCUCUUUGCCUGAUCAAAAUGCAGAUCUGAGCCUCAAAUUUCUGGGAAUCGAACCCGGGUCCUCUUGUUCUUUGAAAUAUAUUAAUGUUUCGUCCAAAUUUUAGCUCAAGGUUCAGACCAAAUGAAUGAGGUGCCAGAGAAGAUGGAUACUUUUCUUCUCUGGUAAGCCCAUGAUUUCAAAAACCAAAAGCACUUCUCUUUCUCAUUGACUGUGGUUGACAAAUAGAUAUGUGGAUUAGAAAAUUUUUCUGGUUCCAUGUAGACCCAAAUCAAUCUAUCAACUAUGCUCAAUCCCUGGACAUAAAUGAUUGGAAAUGCCAUAGGAAGGUAUUGAACCUUAGACCUUGUGGAUAAUAGCCACGCGCUUUAACCAACUGAGCUACACCAUGUGAACCCAAGUUGUGAAAAUGAUAAAUAAAUAAAUAAUCGAUGGGGCUAUGAUGACAUUCUUCUUAGAAAAUGCAAUGAAGCAUUCAGAUAAUUUGCGCCGUAGCUUGGCAGGGCAACCUGGCUAAUUUUAACAUGCUAAAGGUUUGCAGCCAUCACGGUGUUGAAAGACUGAAUGAGACUUGAACAAGAUCUGAGCCUAAAAUGUGUGGAAUAUUUGGUAUUUCUGCUUGCACUUAACCCUUUCUAUUUCAAAUCGUUUCCGUGAAAUGGCGAUAGUGACUUGUUGUCUUGCUUAAAAGAUCUCAUUUUUGGUAUUUUUUGCUAGAUUUUUUCUGCAGUUGACUUGCUGACUAGCUUUGAUAAUUGAGGAUAGAGUGGAAUAGCCAUCUAAUUUGGCAGUAAGGUAAAUUGAUAUAUUGAUUAGAUUUUCGUCCUUUCUAAAUGAAGAAUGUAUCCCAGACAGGUUGACAUGUUUGCCAAAACCAAAAGCAAGAUAUUUUAAUUCCACUGAUGGUACGUGAAAGAGACCCAAUAUAUGAUUUCUACCUUCCUUUUCAUUUUCUAACUUCUCUGUAAGUUGUUCUCCAUCAGCAAACUGGCUCUCUUUCUCACCUUCAAUCAAUAUUUUGCAUUUAUAUUGGUCUUUACAUUUAAACGUCUGAUCAUUUUAUGAUCUGCUCCUCGCCCUUAGCAUAUGGUGUACUUAAUGCAUGCCAUCAUCGAACUUUGGUUUUUGGCUUCUCAAAUGAUGUAGCUUUAUAGUUCCUCAUUUCUUUUGCCUUAUUCAUCGUGUUGCUAGCGGAAAUAUUGGAUGACAAGUUGCAUAAGCAGACCUUUACUAAACUGUGAAUUUGCAUUGAAGAAGCCUGUAUCUUGGCUGGGUGAGCCAUAUGUUACUGGAAUUGCAGCCAUGGCAGCUUCCUGAAUCUCCUUUUGCCUGUUCCUAUAUUUAUUUGAGCCGCGCUCGUCUUGUUAAAUUCUUUGUCUGUUUACCAGCGCUCUUGAAUUGAAAGGUUGUUGUUUUUGUAAUCCAACUCUGGCUUGAAGUGAUAACUAUUCUAUGCUUACGCUAUUCCAUUUCUUCUUUUCCUUCUCCUACUUACACUACUGCUGUAUAAAUCAAAGUUGUUGAUGAAUCUAUUGCUACAGUUGCAGGAUUGCACCCUAGCCGUUUCAUUUUCUCUGUAAUCUGAGAAACACAGAUGACAAUCAUAUGAAGUCUAAUGCUAUGAUGAAAAUAGAUACUGUGCUUGAUCUGAAUGGAGAAAUAUAUUUGAAUUGAAUCUAGAUAAUGAGGUAACAGGAAGCUUGAUUUUAUCAAAGGGCCCUGCUUCUUAUGGUAAAUAUCUCUUUGCCUUCUGAUUGAACAAUAUAUUGCAUUUCACAGUGAAGCUCAC